rnacentral:lncRNA from 10 species
CCAAAAGUUGUGUAAAUGUCUUGAAUAAGGUUUUCUUCAUAGUCAAAUCUGUCAGCUAGUUUGUGAUUUUUUUGGGGGGGGACAGAGUCUUGCUCUGUUGCCCAAGCUGGAGUGCAGUGGCGUGAUCUUGGCUCAUUGCAACCUCCGCUUCCCAGGUUCAAGUGAUUCUCCUGCCUCAGCCUCCCAAGUAGCUGGGAUUACAGGUGUGCACCACCACACCUGACUAAUUUUGUAUUUUUUUAGUAGAGACGGGGUUUCACCCUGUUGGUCAGGCUGGUCUUGAACUCCUAACCUCAAGUGAUCCACUCACCUUGGCCUCCCAAGGUGCUGAGAUUACAGGUGAGAGCCACUGUGCCCAGCCAGAUAGUUUGUAAUUUUUAUUUUUUUAUUUCUUGGAGUCUUCAUGCCUCCUUUCCUGGAUUGCUUGCUGGAAAUUGUAUCAGUUGUCAUCCUGGAGACUUCCUUACAUGUCUGAAAAUGGUCUUAUUCCAUUUACAUGUCAUUGGUAGUCCGGUUGCGUACAGAAUUUUAGGUUGAAGGUCAUUCAUACUCAACACUUAGAAGAUAUUUUUCUGCUGGCGCCUAGCUUCUCUUAUUGCUGUUAAGAAAUCCAUUGCAUUCUUGGUCAUUCACGUAAUCUUCAUUUUCUCUCUGGACUCUUUCAUGAUCUUACCGUAUCAUCCAUUUUCUGAAAUUCAAGAUGGGCUGAUCUGAAGGUAGUCAGUUAUCUCAGUUGAUCAGUUCAAUUCUUUCCCCUUUUCUCACUACUGCACUUGACUAGUCUUAAAAAGAAAAAAAAAAGGGCUGGGCAUGAUGGCUCACACCUGUAAUACCAGCACUUUGGGAGGCUAAGGUGGGUGGAUCACCUGAGGUCAGGAGUUCGAGACCAGCCUGACCAACAUGGUGAAACCCCAUCUUUACUAAAAAUACAAAAUUAGCCAGGUGUGGUGGCACAUACCUGUAAUCCCAGCUACUUGGGAGGCUGAGGCAGGAGAAUUGCAUGAACCCAGGAGGUGGAGGUUGCAGUGAGCUGAGAUUGCACCAUUGCACUCCAGCCUGGGCAACAACAAGAGUGAAACUCUGUCUCAAAAAAAAAAAAAAAAAAGAAUGAAAUUCAAGAUGAUGACUUGGUCUUCCUGAGUAUCUUUUUUCAUUCAUUGUUCUGGGCAUAUGGUGAUCUUUUUGUUAUAGAGA